rnacentral:rRNA from 1 species
UACGUAGGUGGCAAGCGUUGUCCGGAUUUACUGGGCGUAAAGAGCGCGCAGGCGGUCGAUCAAGUCGCGUGUGAAAGCCCCCGGCUCAACUGGGGAGGGUCACGCGAUACUGAUCGACUCGAAGGCAGGAGAGGGUAGUGGAAUUCCCGGUGUAGUGGUGAAAUGCGUAGAGAUCGGGAGGAACACCUGUGGCGAAGGCGGCCGUCUGGGCCGACCCUGACGCUGAGGCGCGAAGGCGUGGGGAGCGAACGGG